CAAUAAGCGGAGGAAAAGAAACCAACUGGGAUUGCCUUAGUAACGGCGAGUGAAGCGGCAAAAGCUCAAAUUUGAAAUCUGGUACCUUUGGUGCCCGAGUUGUAAUUUGGAGAGUACCACUUUGGGACUGUACUUUGCCUAUGUUCCUUGGAACAGGACGUCAUGGAGGGUGAGAAUCCCGUGUGGCGAGGGUGUCAGUUCUUUGUAAAGGGUGCUCGAAGAGUCGAGUUGUUUGGGAAUGCAGCUCUAAGUGGGUGGUAAAUUCCAUCUAAAGCUAAAUACAGGCGAGAGACCGAUAGCGAACAAGUACAGUGAUGGAAAGAUGAAAAGAACUUUGAAAAGAGAGUGAAAAAGUACGUGAAAUUGUUGAAAGGGAAGGGCAUUUGAUCAGACAUGGUGUUUUGCGCCCCUUGCCUCUCGUGGGCUUGGGACUCUCGCAGCUCACUGGGCCAGCAUCGGUUUUGGCGGCCGGAAAAAACCUAGGGAAUGUGGCUCUGCGCCUCGGUGUAGAGUGUUAUAGCCCUGGGGAAUACGGCCAGUCGGGACCGAGGACUGCGAUACUUGUUAUCUAGGAUGCUGGCAUAAUGGUUAUAUGCCG
rnacentral:rRNA from 1 species